rnacentral:lncRNA from 1 species
UUGUGAAUUAUUAUGUACGCUGCAUUUUGGUAGAUAAUGAAAGUUUUACUAAUGUAUUAUUUUAUGAUGCUUUCUCCCAAAUAGACAUACCCCGUAAGCGGCUGGGGCGACUAAAUUCAUCCCUUGUGGGAUUCACUGACAAUGCAGUACCUGUUGAAGGGGUUAUUACCCUAACAAUGGUAACUAAAAAAGCUCCCCAAUGAUCCUCAGCU